rnacentral:rRNA from 1 species
UCGGACUGUGUACUCAUUGUAGGUUAAUAUAGUUUAGUACCUGGAUGGGAGACCUUUUAGGAAAACCAAGGAGCUGUCUGAA